CUCCUCGGGAACUUCCCCUCCAGGAGAGAGGCCAGCUUCUCAUCUUCCCCUACGGAGGGACCGGCAGUCAGGCCCGGGGACCUGGGAAGUCACAGGGCUCAGGACCACAAGAAAAAUGGCUCAAAGGGGAGCCUAGGCCUCCAGGUAGGAGGCCUAGAAAGCACUGGAGUUCAGGUGGGGGCCAGAAGAGACACAUUGCUAAGGUAACCAGUGCAGCUGAGCCGGAGAGGCAGAUGAUCUGAGCCAGGAAGACACAGAUUUCUCAGGGAAGCAUAUAUCAAGCUGUGGCAAACAUGGAGAAGCAUCACGCAGCCCUGAGAGAACAUGGCAGAGGAGAUGAGGAAACUGAGAUCCAUGGAAGUCACAGGAUCACAGA